rnacentral:rRNA from 1 species
AGUGAACGCUGGCGGUAGGCCUAACACAUGCAAGUCGAACGGCAGCACAGAGGAGCUUGCUCCUUGGGUGGCGAGUGGCGGACGGGUGAGGAAUACAUCGGAAUCUACUCUGUCGUGGGGGAUAACGUAGGGAAACUUACGCUAAUACCGCAUACGACCUACGGGUGAAAGCAGGGGAUCUUCGGACCUUGCGCGAUUGAAUGAGCCGAUGUCGGAUUAGCUAGUUGGCGGGGUAAAGGCCCACCAAGGCGACGAUCCGUAGCUGGUCUGAGAGGAUGAUCAGCCACACUGGAACUGAGCCAUGGUCCAGACUCCUACGGGAGGCAGCAGUGGGGAAUAUUGGACAAUGGGCGCAAGCCUGAUCCAGCCAUACCGCGUGGGUGAAGAAGGCCUUCGGGUUGUAAAGCCCUUUUGUUGGGAAAGAAAUCCAUCUGGUUAAUACCCGGGUGGGGUGACGGUACCCAAAGAAUAAGCACCGGCUAACUUCGUGCCAGCCGCCGCAGUAA